rnacentral:tRNA from 1 species
GCCUGGGUGGCUCAGUGGUUGAGCAUCUGCCUUCGGCUCAGGUCAUGAUCCUGGAGUCCUGGGAUCGAGUCCCACAUCGGGCU